ACACAUUGAGAGGAGCGCAGAUCACCGGCAGAUCACCGGGACAGCGAGACAGCAGGAUUAUCAGGGAAAACAGCCGGAUUUGUUUUAUUUCUUCAUUUGAACAAUGGCAGCCAGAAAGAAGACUUUAUUGUCCAUCCAGGAGGCAUUGGAAAUGGUAUUUGAGGACUCUCCGUCGGAAGAUAGUGAUCUUAUCACGCAUCGAGUGACUCCGAUUAUGAAGUUCCACCAACGGAAAGGAGCUGCACAAGAGGAGGGGUGACCCCGGCAGGACGAACCCACACACCCAGAAGUCCUUCAGGGAGCAGCUUGCAAAAUAAAUGGUUGAGUUUUCUGGAGACCCUGCAGCAGUACCACCCCGCCCACCAACCCCCACACCAUCACUGACAUGCAUGCCCGAGCAUUAUGGGGAAGAUGCCACCACGGUCAGGAGGUACUGCAGGAAGUGCUCUGAUGCUGGCAGCAGAAGGGUGAAGACACCUGUGUACUUCAGGAAGUGUCAGGUCCCUCUGUGCUUCACUCCCAAAAAGAACUGUUUCAGGGCAUGGCAUGACUUACUGCAAUAAUACCAUAACAUUCAGGGUUGGUUUGUAUAAAGUUUUGAGAGUUUUUAUCACCCAAUUUUUUUUUUUACCUAAAGUGUGGUGUUAUUGUGUUAGUGCUAACAUUCUUUUAUAUAAAUCUGCUCCAGUUGGAGUCAAAUGUU